UGGACAGAUUAUUGUAUUCGACUGUAUUCACGGCGUGAAACAUGGGAUUACACUGUUUUUAAACGGAAAGUGAAUCAAUUAACAUAAUAGACUCCU
rfam:Nicotiana sylvestris Nsyl_contig111253, whole genome shotgun sequence.